CCUACGUGAGGCAGCAGUGAGGAAUAUUGGUCAAUGGGCGCGAGCCUGAACCAGCCAAGUAGCGUGAAGGAUGACUGCCCUACGGGUUGUAAACUUCUUUUAUAAAGGAAUAAAGUGAGGCACGUGUGCCUUUUUGUAUGUACUUUAUGAAUAAGGAUCGUCUAACUCCGUGCCAGCAGCCGCGGUAAUACGGAGGAUCCGAGCGUUAUCCGGAUUUAUUGGGUUUAAAGGGAGCGUAGAUGGGUUGUUAAGUCAGUUGUGAAAGUUUGCGGCUCAACCGUAAAAUUGCAAGUGAUACUGGCAGUCUUGAGUACAGUUGAGGUAGGCGGAAUGCGUGGUGUAGCGGUGAAAUGCUUAGAUAUCACGAAGAACUCCGAUUGCGAAGGCAGCUUACUAAACUGCCACUGACAUUGAUGCUCGAAAGUGUGGGUAUCAAACAGGAUUAGAUACCCUUGUAGUC
rnacentral:rRNA from 1 species